rnacentral:tRNA from 1 species
GCCGAAGUGGCGGAACUGGCAGACGCACCAGACUCAAAAUCUGGCGUGGUUACCCCACGUGCGAGUUCGAGUCUCGCCUUCGGCACCA